rnacentral:lncRNA from 1 species
AUCCUUUAGGACCAAUGUGCAUCCGACAUUUGUCUUGAUGCAAAUGUCACCAAUCCCCGCAAUCUUUGAGUAACUCGUAUUACCCAUUCUCACGGUGCCGAAAUCACCUGCUACAUAUCUAAAAAAAAGAUCUCUUACCGGUGUGACAUGGUAAGAUGCCGCUGUGUCAACCACCCAUUCCGACUCUGGACCUGACAGGUGCAUUCAUUCCUCUUCAUCAUUUAUAAAACUACAUAUCUGCAAAAAAGAUCUCUUAUCGGUGUAGCAUGGUAAGAUGCCGCUGUGUCAACCACCCAUUCCGACUCUUGACCUGACAGGUGCAUGCAUCCCUCUUCAUCAUUUAUAAAGAGGACAACAUUGUCAUUGUUUUGCACCAUGGCAGCUGUGUUGUCGUCAUUCUUCUGGCCACUAGU